AGUGAACGCUGGCGGUAGGCCUAACACAUGCAAGUCGAACGGCAGCACAGUAAGAGCUUGCUCUUACGGGUGGCGAGUGGCGGACGGGUGAGGAAUACAUCGGAAUCUACUUUUUCGUGGGGGAUAACGUAGGGAAACUUACGCUAAUACCGCAUACGACCUACGGGUGAAAGCAGGGGAUCUUCGGACCUUGCGCGAUUGAAUGAGCCGAUGUCGGAUUAGCUAGUUGGCGGGGUAAAGGCCCACCAAGGCGACGAUCCGUAGCUGGUCUGAGAGGAUGAUCAGCCACACUGGAACUGAGACACGGUCCAGACUCCUACGGGAGGCAGCAGUGGGGAAUAUUGGACAAUGGGCGCAAGCCUGAUCCAGCCAUACCGCGUGGGUGAAGAAGGCCCUCGGGUUGUAAAGCCCUUUUGUUGGGAAAGAAAAGCAGCAGGUUAAUACCCCGCUGUUCUGACGGUACCCAAAGAAUAAGCACCGACUAACUUCGUG
rnacentral:rRNA from 1 species